UACGUAGGCAGCAAGCGUUGUUCGGAGUUACUGGGCGUAAAGGGUGUGUAGGCGGUUGUUUAAGUUUGGUGUGAAAUCUCCCGGCUCAACUGGGAGGGUGCGCCGAAUACUGAAUGACUUCGAGUGCGGGAGAGGAUAGUGGAAUUCCUGGUGUAGCGGUGAAAUGCGUAGAUAUCAGGAGGAACACCGGUGGUGUAGACGGCUAUCUGGACCGUAACUGACGCUGAGACACGAAAGCGUGGGGAGCGAACAGG
rnacentral:rRNA from 1 species